UGCUGUUAUGGCCAGGCUGUCGAAGUGCUUGUAUCACAUCUUAAUGAAGAGGAAAAUGGUAACCACCACAGCUUUAACAUCAGAUGGAUAGGAAGACCAGUACAUAAAUAAAAAGGAUAAUUCAGGCUCCAGAGCCAUUCCAUCUCUGCUCAGACAGCCAGCCUGACUGCCAAUAGUUUAAUAGAUCAAAUCCAAGAGUUGUCAACAUUCAGUACUUCAUGACAUCUGAAAUACACCUCAUACUUGCAAAAAUACUUGCAAAAACUUCAGCACUUCAGGAAAAAGAAUGCCAGCCUGAUUCUCCCAAGCCCUAUCUCACCCUUCCUCCUUAGUGCAGACAAAUGCAGAGUUGGAAGUGUUAGCAAGCUUUGA